CCCCAGGAAAUACAUAACAAACAAUAAAACUUCAUCUCCAGAUGACCUUAGAUCCGUCCACAUCUUUCUAACUAUAUGACAGAGUGGUUCUCCCAGUGGCUAGCAAACUGAAUCUAACCUUAAAAUAAGUGAAAAGAAGUGGAGUUCCCCUUUAAAGCUGAAGGAAUUACAAUUUUAGAUUGUUCCAGGAGCAACAAAAGGUCAGGUUUGCUCUGCUCUGCUCCACCUGCCUCUCUCCCUCUCUCUCUCUCCUUUCUGCAGGCAAUCUUUCUUGGGCGUGGCACACACCUGUGCUGACUUACAAAGCUGAGACCGCUUACCUAUCAGCCACAUCCUACUUAAGACUCAGACAGAGGCUUCUCCAGUGCCAAGUACAUUGCAGACUACUGCCACAACACUUUGGCUCUUAUUAUUGAAACCUUUCAGCUACUACAAGACCUCUGACACCACGUAUCUUUGGGUCUCCUCCAUCUACCGGUUACCUCAUCCUCGUCUCCUUGGACUGGCGUCAUCCUCCUCAGGAAAUACAAGACAUCUGAAGGGGCACAAGCCACAAAGCUUUGAGGAAACUUUUGGGUACAUGUUUCUCCUUCUGAAGCUAUUUCUGUGUCUUCCAUAUGGAAAUAUUCUCAAAGGCAAGCAUUGGAAACGUGAACCGAAGACGGACAUUCUCUACAGCGCCUCAUCCCAACCCCACCUAACUCAGCAUCCAUCUGAUGUGGAUUACUCCAUGUCAGGCUCACAGAGCUAUCCCGGUUGCCUGUAUAGCAGCAGCAGCAGCAGCAGCGGGCUCCAGCGUGCCAUUAGCUCUGCUUUCAAUCACACAGCUACUGUAUUAGUCACAAGUGUAUAAGCUCACUUCAGCUGCAACAGCACUCCCAGAAAAGACAGAGAGGGGGCUGAGAGUGGAGAUGACAGGAGACAAGAGGCUAUGGAAAGACUGUUAUUCAACAUCACACAUCUGAGCAAAAUGCAGCCCAGUUCCACCAGCUAUUUUACUUUAUGUGUGUAUAAAGAAAUUGUUUAGAGCAUUUAACAACACAAGCUACAGCAUUCACUAUAGCAGAAAGGAGGAGAUGAUGCCCGUGUAGCAGAGUAUCACAUUCCCUCUAUGUGGUCAGAUCCCAUUACGAUCUGACAAGAGAGACCUCAGCACAACAGGCUGGGCUAAAUGAUAUGAUUCAACAACAACUACUCACAGCGGCCAAUAUAUCGAUUCGCCAUGAUGGGUUUAUAAGUGGCUAUCAACAAUAGUUGACAUCAGGAAGAUAAAAUGAAAAGUAAUAUCUUCAGCGGCAUCAUGUACUGUGGCUGCCAGAGACAGACAGAGCUACAAUCCACCUGUGUUCGGAGUCAAGGGCCUCGGUGCACUCAGUGUCAAAAUCUGAUUUGACAUGAAAUGUAGUUUUUGCAAAGAAGCAAUUUCAAGAAUUUUUAUGAGAUGUUAUUAAAUAGUUUGGAUAACUCUGCCCACUUUCAUGACGAA